rnacentral:lncRNA from 1 species
UCAAGGAUUUGCAGUAGAUGGGAUUGUCAGAGCACAGACUCGAGGAACCAAACAGUGGCGACAUGGCCCAGUGCAGGGACCGGCCUUGAAUGAUUGAUCCAGCCUUCAAUCAUUCGAGGCCGGCUUAAAUGGCCACGGCCCACGCCUCGAAUUGAAUCAGGCCGCAAUUGCGUCACACCGAUGGAGCCGCGUGUGAAUGCAGGGUUGACUACAAGGGUUGCGUCUUGCGUGCGCCGUCUGCCUGGGCAUGGCAGCAACAGACCAACAGUAGAUCCUUUUAUGACGCACAUGACCAAGUCAUUCUGCCCGGACGAGCGACCGCCACCGACCCGAGCCCCCGUCGACGAGAACGUGACAUGCAACGGCAGACCACGCAGCUUGCUGCUUACGCGUGCGUCCCGUCCAAAUGCCACGGCAGAAGAUGCGAAUCCACCGGUUUAAAUCCCUACCACGUCCCCGUGUUUCACCAAAGAAGGAAAAAAUAGGACAAAGAACAGGGCAUGGUGA